AUUGGAUUGCGGCAUGUUCGUCAUGUUCUAUAUGGAUAAAAUAGCACAAGGACAGCCCAUUCCAAAAAGCGUGGACAAGAAAUUCAUGAAUGAAUAUCGAGCACAAUAUGUCACAAAACUCCUACACCACAAAAACUGUGUAAUUAAUCCUCUCUAGUGAUUUGCCUUUCGUUAACUCAAGACAAUAUGUAUCUUAAUUCUUGUGGAUGUUUGUAAAUAUUUCUAGUUAUGGUAUAUGAGAACAUAUUUCCUAUACA
rnacentral:lncRNA from 1 species